rnacentral:tRNA from 1 species
GUCUCUGUAGCGCAAUGGGUAGCGCGUUGGACUUCUAAUCCAAAGGUCGUGAGUUCAAAUCCUACCUGGGAGG